GGCGCUGCUUACACAUGCAGUCGAACGGUGAAGCCAAGCUUGCUUGGUGGAUCAGUGGCGAACGGGUGAGUAACACGUGAGCAACCUGCCCUGAACUCUGGGAUAAGCGCUGGAAACGGCGUCUAAUACUGGAUAUGAGCUGCGGAGGCAUCUUCGUGGUUGGAAAGAUUUUUCGGUUUGGGAUGGGCUCGCGGCCUAUCAGCUUGUUGGUGAGGUAAUGGCUCACCAAGGCGUCGACGGGUAGCCGGCCUGAGAGGGUGACCGGCCACACUGGGACUGAGACACGGCCCAGACUCCUACGGGAGGCAGCAGUGGGGAAUAUUGCACAAUGGGCGGAAGCCUGAUGCAGCAACGCCGCGUGAGGGAUGACGGCCUUCGGGUUGUAAACCUCUUUUAGCAGGGAAGAAGCGAKAGUGACGGUACCUGCAGAAAAAGCGCCGGCUAACUACGUGCCAGCAGCCGCGGUAAUACGUAGGGCGCAAGCGUUAUCCGGAAUUAUUGGGCGUAAAGAGCUCGUAGGCGGUUUGUCGCGUCUGCUGUGAAAUCYGGAGGCUCAACCYCSGGCCUGCAGUGGGUACGGGCAGACUAGAGUGCGGUAGGGGAGAUUGGAAUUCCUGGUGUAGCGGUGGAAUGCGCAGAUAUCAGGAGGAACACCGAUGGCGAAGGCAGAUCUCUGGGCCGUAACUGACGCUGAGGAGCGAAAGGGUGGGGAGCAAACAGGCUUAGAUACCCUGGUAGUCCACCCCGUAAACGUUGGGAACUAGUUGUGGGGUCCAUUCCACGGAUUCCGUGACGCAGCUAACGCAUUAAGUUCCCCGCCUGGGGAGUACGGCCGCAAGGCUAAAACUCAAAGGAAUUGACGGGGACCCGCACAAGCGGCGGAGCAUGCGGAUUAAUUCGAUGCAACGCGAAGAACCUUACCAAGGCUUGACAUACACGAGAACGCUGCAGAAAUGUAGAACUCUUUGGACACUCGUGAACAGGUGGUGCAUGGUUGUCGUCAGCUCGUGUCGUGAGAUGUUGGGUUAAGUCCCGCAACGAGCGCAACCCUCGUUCUAUGUUGCCAGCACGUAAUGGUGGGAACUCAUGGGAUACUGCCGGGGUCAACUCGGAGGAAGGUGGGGAUGACGUCAAAUCAUCAUGCCCCUUAUGUCUUGGGCUUCACGCAUGCUACAAUGGCCGGUACAAAGGGCUGCAAUACCGCGAGGUGGAGCGAAUCCCAAAAAGCCGGUCCCAGUUCGGAUUGAGGUCUGCAACUCGACCUCAUGAAGUCGGAGUCGCUAGUAAUCGCAGAUCAGCAACGCUGCGGUGAAUACGUUCCCGGGUCUUGUACACACCGCCCGUCAAGUCAUGAAAGUCGGUAACACCUGAAGCCGGUGGCCCAACCCUUGUGGAGGGAGCCGUCGAAGUGAUCGGUC
rnacentral:rRNA from 1 species